rnacentral:rRNA from 1 species
AACGAACGCUGGCGGCAUGCCUAACACAUGCAAGUCGAACGAGACCUUCGGGUCUAGUGGCGCACGGGUGCGUAACGCGUGGGAACCUGCCCUUAGGUUCGGAAUAACUCCCCGAAAGGGGUGCUAAUACCGGAUAAUGUCUUCGGACCAAAGAUUUAUCGCCUUUGGAUGGGCCCGCGUUGGAUUAGCUAGUUGGUAGGGUAAAAGCCUACCAAGGCGACGAUCCAUAGCUGGUCUGAGAGGAUGAUCAGCCACACUGGGACUGAGACACGGCCCAGACUCCUACGGGAGGAAGCAGUGGGGAAUAUUGGACAAUGGGCGAAAGCCUGAUCCAGCAAUGCCGCGUGAGUGAUGAAGGCCUUAGGGUUGUAAAGCUAUUUUACCCGGGAUGAUAAUGACAGUACCGGGAGAAUAAGCUCCGGCUAACUCCGUG